GAGUUUGAUCGUGGCUCAGAGUGAACGCUGGCGGUAGGCCUAACACAUGCAAGUCGAACGGUAACAGGUCUUUCGGGAUGCUGACGAGUGGCGGACGGGUGAGGAAUACAUCGGAAUCUGCUCAGUCGUGGGGGAUAACGCAUGGAAACGUGCGCUAAUACCGCAUACGACCUUCGGGUGAAAGCAGGGGAAUCUUUAGGGAUCCUUGCGCGAUUGAAUGAGCCGAUGUCGGAUUAGCUAGUUGGUAGGGUAAAAGCCUACCAAGGCGACGAUCCGUAGCUGGUCUGAGAGGAUGAUCAGCCACACUGGGACUGAGACACGGCCCAGACUCCUGCGGGAGGCAGCAGUGGGGAAUAUUGGACAAUGGGGGCAACCCUGAUCCAGCCAUACCGCGUGGGUGAAGAAGGCCUUCUGGGUUGUAAAGCCCUUUUGUUGGGGAAGAAAAACAACGGGUUAAUACCCCGUUGGUAUGACGGUACCCAAAGAAUAAGCACCGGCUAACUUCGUGCCAGCAGCCGCGGUAAUACGAAGGGUGCAAGCGUUACUCGGAAUUACUGGGCGUAAAGGGUGCGUAGGUGGUUGCGCCAGUCUGUCGUGAAAGCCCUGGGCUUAACCUGGGAAUGGCGAUGGAAACUGUGCAACUAGAGUGUGACAGAGGGUGGUGGAAUUCCUGGUGUAGCAGUGAAAUGCGUAGAGAUCAGGAGGAACAUUCGUGGCGAAGGCGGCCACCUGGGUCAACACUGACACUGAGGCACGAAAGCGUGGGGAGCAAACAGGAUUAGAUACCCUGGUAGUCCACGCCCUAAACGAUGCGAACUGGAUGUUGGGUCCAACUUGGGAUUCAGUAUCGAAGCUAACGCGUUAAGUUCGCCGCCUGGGGAGUACGGUCGCAAGACUGAAACUCAAAGGAAUUGACGGGGGCCCGCACAAGCGGUGGAGUAUGUGGUUUAAUUCGAUGCAACGCGCAGAACCUUACCUGGCCUUGACAUGCAC
rnacentral:rRNA from 1 species